rnacentral:rRNA from 1 species
CCCUUAGAUGUUCUGGGCCGCACGCGCGCUACACUGACGAAUGCAACGAGCUUAUAACCUUGUCCGAAAGGUCUGGGUAAUCUCCAAAUUUCGUCGUGAUGGGGAUAGAUUAUUGCAAUUAUUAAUCUUCAACGAGGAAUUCCUAGUAAACGCAAGUCAUCAGCUUGCAUUGAUUACGUCCCUGCCCUUUGUACACACCGCCCGUCGCACCUACCGAUUGAAUGGUCCGGUGAAAUCUCGGGACGGCGGCUUGGUCGCUUGCGUCCGACUGCUGAAACUUGAUUAAACCAUAUCAUUUAGAGGAAGGUGAAGUCGUAACA